rnacentral:rRNA from 1 species
ACCAGACUCCUACGGGAGGCAGCAGUGGGGGAUAUUGCACAAUGGGGGGAACCCUGAUGCAGCGACGCCGCGUGAGUGAAGAAGUAAUUCGUUAUGUAAAGCUCUAUCAGCAGGGAAGAAUAAAUGACGGUACCUGAGUAAGAAGCCCCGGCUAACUACGUGCCAGCAGCCGCGGUAAUACGUAGGGGGCAAGCGUUAUCCGGAUUUACUGGGUGUAAAGGGGGCGCAGACGGCAGCGCAAGCCAGGAGUGAAAGCCCGGGGCCCAACCCCGGGACUGCCCUUGGAACUGCGCGGCUGGAGUGCAGGAGGGGCAGGCGGAAUUCCUGGUGUAGCGGUGAAAUGCGUAGAUAUCAGGAGGAACACCGGUGGCGAAGGCGGCCUGCUGGACUGCGACUGACGUUGAGGCCCGAAAGCGUGGGGAGCAAACAGGAUUAGAUACCCGCGUAU